rnacentral:rRNA from 1 species
AAAUGCGCAGAUAUCAGGAGGAACACCGAUGGCGAAGGCAGCUUUCUGGGCCACCACUGACGCUGAGGAGCGAAAGCGUGGGGAGCGAACAGGAUUAGAUACCCUGGUAGUCCACGCCGUAAACGGUGGGCGCUAGAUGUGGGGACCCUUCCAUGGUUUCUGCGUCGCAGCUAACGCAUUAAGCGCCCCGCCUGGGGAGUACGGUCGCAAGACUAAAACUCAAAGGAAUUGACGGGGGCCCGCACAAGCAGCGGAGCAUGCGGCUUAAUUCGAUGCAACGCGAAGAACCUUACCUAGACUUGACAUAUACGGAAAACAUGCAGAGAUGUAUGGUCCUAACGGGCCGUUUACAGGUGGUGCAUGGUUGUCGUCAGCUCGUGUCGUGAGAUGUUGGGUUAAGUCCCGCAACGAGCGCAACCCUCGUUCUAUGUUGCCAGCACGUAAAGGUGGGGACUCAUAGGAGACUGCCGGGGUCAACUCGGAGGAAGGUGGGGAUGACGUCAAAUCAUCAUGCCCCUUAUGUCUAGGGCUGCACGCAUGCUACAAUGGCUGGUACAGAGGGCUGCGAUACCGCAAGGUGGAGCGAAUCCCAAAAAGCCAGUCUCAGUUCGGAUUGGGGUCUGCAACUCGACCCCAUGAAGUUGGAGUUGCUAGUAAUCGCAGAUCAGCAACGCUGCGGUGAAUACGUUCCCGGGCCUUGUACACACCGCCCGUCACGUCACGAAAGUCGGUA